rnacentral:lncRNA from 1 species
AGAAAAUGGAGAUUUUGAGAACGUAACGCUACGUGGUUUGUGUUAACAGCUUGUUAUUGGGAAGACUAUAAAGAACGACUCUCGACAUUAAUAGAGUAAACAGACGAUGUUAUACUUAGGCUAGAUAUUUUGGACACACUGAGCGCAGUGAUAAACCUGAGUACUCCCACAAUUACCAUCAACAAUAAAGUGAUAAAUGCGGC